CAAAACUUUUAUACUUUGAACGUUGUGUAGUAUUUAAACUGCUGAAAACAGAAAGACAAUCAAAUCUCAUCUAAACAAUGAAGGCUUUGCUAGUAUUCUUCCUGAUUUCUAUUGGUGGAAUAUCCACAUUAGUUUCAUGUCAAAGUACGCAUCGUUCGGAAAAUUUUUAUGAUGUCUACAACCUUCGACUUUGCACUGACGAAGAAAAAAGUGGAAUUUGCGAAUUUCUUUGUGAGACUGCUAAACAACGUAUUUGUAUCCUAUCGUCUGAGCAUUGCAAAUGUUAUGAUUUCUGAGAUGAUAAAGUUUGUUGUUAUUGCGGUAAUAGUUUAUAGUUUCUGAUCGAAUUUCAACGUACUUUUUAAUGAGUAAUUUUCGAAAUAUUAUAAUAAAAGUUGCUAAAAUCAUAAUUUUUCAUAUUUUGUUGUUUAGUUUAAGAUUUUCAAAUAAAUUAAUGUUCUGUUUGAAUGGGCUUGAAGAACGCUUAUUUGUUAAAACUAAUUUUUGUUUGUUAAAUAAAGAUAAUUAAGUUUA